rnacentral:rRNA from 1 species
CCUACGGGACGCUGCAGCGGGGAAUAUUGCACAAUGGGCGCAAGCCUGAUGCAGCCAUGCCGCGUGUAUGAAGAAGGCCUUAGGGUUGUAAAGUACUUUCAGUUGGGAGGAAGGCGUUGAUGCUAAUAUCAUCAACGAUUGACGUUACCAACAGAAGAAGCACGGGCUAACUCCGUGCCAGCAGCCGCGGUAAUACGGAGGGUGCAAGCGUUAAUCGGAAUUACUGGGCGUAAAGCGCACGCAGGCGGUUGAUUAAGUUAGAUGUGAAAUCCCCGGGCUUAACCUGGGAAUGGCAUCUAAGACUGGUCAGCUAGAGUCUUGUAGAGGGGGGUAGAAUUCCAUGUGUAGCGGUGAAAUGCGUAGAGAUGUGGAGGAAUACCGGUGGCGAAGGCGGCCCCCUGGAUAAAGACUGGCGCUCAGGUGCGAAAGCGUGGGGAGCAAACAGGAUUAGAUACCCCUGUAGUC